CUACGGGUGGCUGCAGUGGGGAAUAUUGCACAAUGGAGGAAACUCUGAUGCAGCAACGCCGCGUGGAGGAUGACACUUUUCGGAGCGUAAACUCCUUUUAUAUAGGAAGAAGAUGACGGUACUAUAUGAAUAAGCGCCGGCUAACUCCGUGCCAGCAGCCGCGGUAAUACGGAGGGCGCAAGCGUUACUCGGAAUCACUGGGCGUAAAGAGCGUGUAGGCGGAUUAAAAAGUCAGAAGUGAAAUCCUAUAGCUUAACUAUAGAACUGCUUCUGAAACUCUUAAUCUAGAAUGUGGGAGAGGUAGAUGGAAUUUCUGGUGUAGGGGUAAAAUCCGUAGAGAUCAGAAGGAAUACCGAUUGCGAAGGCGAUCUACUAGAACAUUAUUGACGCUGAGACGCAAAAGCGUGGGGAGCAAACAGGAUUAGAUACCCUGGUAGUC
rnacentral:rRNA from 1 species